CUGAGAUCCUCCGGCCAGCCCGCCCCUUCCUGAGGGACACCAGGCGUUGUGGCAUCGGGAGCUCCAGCGGCCCCUGUCCACCGCACUCCCAUGGGCCCGCAGCUGGUCAAGUGCUUGGAGUCACGUGGCCCCUCUGUCCACCUUCAGGACACUUGCUUAGGACGGUCCCCAGGAUGGCCCCCCGCUCACUGGAGCCUGUACGUGUUCGUGCCGUUUGUGUCUUGCUUAAGAAGUUUCUCCCAACCCUGAAGUCAUGUGGUUCCCCCUCCCCCACGUAUGCCUUUCCAGACGAGCCGUGGAUUUAUCAUUCAUAGUGAAGUCUUUAAUCCACCUGACAUUGAUUUCUGUAGACAGUGUGAAGCCAGAGUCUGAGUAAUAUUUUUUCCUCUGUGGAUAAUCAGGUCUCCAAACUGACUGUAAGGAGAAAAAAACCUGUCCCGUCUCCUAUGAUCUCCUGUCUUCUCCCACCAGCAGCACCCAUUCCUCACCAUCUCCAGGAAAUCCUGGGAUCUGUAGGCAGGCCCUUCUACCUGGUCAUUCCUCAAGAGUAUCUUGGCUCUUCUUGGUGCUUCGUGAUUCCGCGGAGAUUUGGGAGUCAGGUCGUCAAAUUUUAUAUGCACACGCAUGCACGUGGCCAUUAUGGAGGUAGUUUAAGUACUAGUGUGGAUGCAACAGGAUCCGUGCCCUUCCAGGAGGGGACACCAGGGAGCUCUCCCUGCCUCUCUGCAGGGCGGGCACACGGCGGGAGGAUGGCAUCUCCAGCUCUCUCCAGAACCCAGCUGCCUUCACCCCGAUCUCAGACUUCUGGUCUCCAGACCGGCGAGAAACACAGGUCUGCUGUUCCAAGCCCCCAGCCCGUGGUGUGUCGUCUGGGCAGCCCGAGCCACCGACUGGGACAGUGGCACGCGGCUCUGGGAAUUGGGACAAGCAAGCUCUCUGUACAUGCAGAGUUGUCAGCCCCCGAUUCCGGCAAAUCUCUCUUCCAUGGCCAUGAUGCUGCCUUUCCAGGAUGUCGUGCAAAUGGGAUCAUGUGCCGUGUGGUCUGUGCAGUCUGGCUUCCUGCGUGUUUGAGAACCCCAGUGACGGGCUCGGUACGUAAUGCCCGUGAUGGGCCACCUGACUGCGUCUCCCUGUGGAACCGAAUCUCUGGUCUUCAGUUCUUUUCUCCGCUUUUCCUUCAGACUGGAUGAUUUCUGUCUGAAGUUCACUAACGCUUUCUUCUGCGGCCUCCACUGCUGUAGCGCUCCCCGACAAGACUUUCAUUCCAGACGUUGUCUGCUGGA